UCUGUGGACAAAAACACAUGGUUCGUCACAUGAGGGAAAUAAACGUAAAUGUUCUUAUUUCAUGUUUUAAAACACGAAACAGCAGUCGCUGUGGCAACGUAAAGAAAAAGUAUUAUUGUAAGUACUGUGAUAUUUUCUAAGUGGAUCAAUACAAAACAUAACAUUUUGUUUUGUUUAAUUAUCUUAGCGGUUUGAUUUGAGUCCAACAGAUUAUUCAACAAUAUUUCUGUAAAAUCAAUGACCUCUAGAGUUUCCAACCUUGAACCUGUAACUAAAGAUAACAAAUUUUUGUUUUUGAAAAUAUCCACUCACAACCAUGGCAUUUCAAAUCGUCAGAUAUUUAAUUACAAGUAAACAUGUUAGGAAAAUAAAUUCUUGAACAAGCAGCUGCAAUAUAGUAGCUACUUGAAUAAGCAGAAGCCAUCUACCAAGUAAGACGAGAGGUGUUUUUUUUAUUAAGAAAGAAAAAUGUCCCAUUCAUUUAAAAUGAGGGGGCGGGACUUAAAAACGUUUUCAGGAACCAGCCACUAGAGGGAGCUUUAACUUCUGUGUUUAAAUCAUAGACUGUACAUAUACUGGACAAUUCGAUUCCAUAGGCUUCAAUAACGCGUUAUCUGUCCAUAAUGGGAGGUGUCCACCACCGCCAUUUUGACCGUGUCACAGGUUCCGUCCAGCCCAGACAAUUCCAUAAAAGGGAAGAGAGGAGGCGCUGAGGGUGUGGCUGUAAGGCUGGGCUCGAGUGACGACACCCAGGCGAACUAGCUACGAGCUAACCUGAAGCUAACCCUGGCUAACCCAAAGCUAAAGCGGAGGUGGGAGCCGAGCUAACGGAUGUAGCCACCUAGCUUCAACCCAACCGGAGCUAACUGGAACACCCAUCGACCUGAACCUCACACGGAGUUUAGGUGGAGGUUUUCUGCGCCUGUUCGUGAGAAGUACCUGUAUUAAAAAAGUUUUAAAUCGCCAUUUGGAUCAUUGGAGACAGCUGAGUGAGGCGUGGUGCCCAGAGAGCUGCAGAGACAACCUUGGCCUCCCUGACGUCUGUGUCUCCUGGUUCGGUUGGGGCGGACCAUCGACAUACAUACAUGUGCCGACACUGUGCCCUGUUUUAUAAAAUGUAGUGUUAAAAAUAAAUGUUUUUGCUCAAUUACUGGAAUUUCUUUGGUUAAGACAAAAGUGAGGAAUAAUCAUUUACAAGUUAUUUGUACAACAGGCCCAUUUUAAAUCCCAACAGUUUCUUAGCAGACAAUAGAAAUGUGUUCUUUACUAACUUUACUUGGUUUGAAAAUCUUACUAAAAUAAACUUGAGUGCCGUAUUGCAAAACCCAAUCAUACUUGUUAUGUAAACAUUAGCUUUGAAGAUAUUUUUUACAGAUAUAUAUUUGUGUGCAACAAAAACCAAACUUAAAUAAUUUGUCAUUCUUUAUUGAAAAACAACAAAAUACAGGUAUACAGAAGUGUGGGAAAAUGAUAAUGUGAAAGUAUUGCACUAUAAAUGAAGUGAGAUGAGAUGAAGGUGAGAUGAAGGUGGACGCCAGCGGGCUGGACGCCGGACGAAGAAACCUGGAGACGGAUCGCUCAGACAGGAAGGGAAGAGCUUCCUCUUACCUUGAUGGAAUUAAAGUUAGCCGUCGUCUGAACGCCCAACCGUACGGUCUGAGGUCAAAGGUCACAGGAAACACACACCAGUCAGCAGUCAUACAGAUGCAUAAAGAUAACUGUAGCCAUGGCAACCAGCUGACAUGUCCCCACUUUCACCAGCACCUGGUGCCUGCUGGGUCACCUGAAUUCCUGUGUGAUGUCAGCACGGUCGGCCGUGACUGCUGCCAUCAGAGGUGACCUCUGAUCAGCUGAAUGAACUCACCUUCCAGGGUGACGCCGUGUUAAGAGUCGGCUUCGUCCUGUAAACAAACAAACAAACAAACAAAUGAGUGGUAACAUAAACACCACGUCUGGUUCUGGUUGAGGCGGAGGACAACAUGCACCUUUCCAGGAGCAGAACCCAGAUGUUCUUGUUGCUACAAACAGAGACGAGCAGAGUUAACAAACCAGGAAGUGAGAGGGACCAGCUGCUGCAGACAGGUGACGCUCACCUGAGCCUGAACCAUAGGAGCCUCCUCAGCCAUCAGACCUUCUGACUCCAGUUCAGAUGCCACCUUGUUGAUGUCCCUCAGGCGGGACUCGUUGGCCUUCAGGUCCUGCAGGACAAAAGCACCUGCUGAUUAUCUUGUUGCUGUCGGGUUAACAGGUCUGGUGUUAGAACGUGGUGGAUAAGAAUGUUCUGACGGGCCGAGGGCUCUGAACUCACCCUGCAGGACUGGGCCUGCUCCUUCAGGGCCUGGAUGCUGCUGCCAUAAGCCGACAGGUCCGACAUCAGGGCCUCGUGCUUCUUCAGGAGAGCCUGUGGAGCAGAACAUCAGAACCUUCAGCUCGUCUGACACAAGUGGAGCUUUCUCGCAGCGAUGGUCCAAUCGGAUCCGCCACUGUAAAACAAACCCUGCUCAGUUCACCGCAGACGCAGCUCUGCGGGUGUUUAGUGGAAAAGCGUGAGCCUUCUGCCGGCUGCCACGUGUCAUGGCUGCUCUGCAGCGGGAACACACAUCACAGCUUGUAAACCGUUUGAAAUAAGAGCGCCGGGAACACGUUUGUCAUCACUUCCUGUGCGAGGCCAGCACUUCUACCCCUAACCCAUGAGACGCUCAAACGAGCAACGAUGUCUGGUAGACAACCGAAGGAAAUGACAAAUACAGAAACACUAAUUAUGAAGGACUGGAAAGAGAGCAAAGAAAAGCGAUUGGAGUUUCUCAGGAAGGGACUUCCAUACCUCGGCCAAGUCCUCGUCUUUCCCUUAGUCUGGACUUCCAACGAUGGGCUCCUUCUCCCUCAUCCAGGACUCGGCCUCAUUAGCAUCCGCAAAUUACUGCUGGGCCUGCAGAGAGUCCUCCAGGUCCUGCCUCCUCUGGGACGCCUUGGCCUUUAGCGUGUCCCAACGUCCAUGAAGCUCUGACAGCUUAGUCUUCACCUCCUCACCAGCGAAGUGACCUGGACCCAAAAAAAGUGAGCCAGAACCUGCAGACACCUCAGAAACAUGUCAGGACCAGACCUGCUCUACCUUCCUCCACCAUGGUCUCUCCUUUCUGGGUGACAGCCUUGAUGCGAGGUUCAUGACCUGUGAUCUCAGCCUGCAGAGCCUGGUGCUUCUUCAACAGGUUCUGGACACCAAUCAGGUCCUUCCC